GCUGGCUGUUGCUGGUUGUUGCUCGCACCAGACUACGAAUCUGGGGGUCGCAAGUUCGAAUCUUGCCGGGCGCA
rnacentral:tRNA from 1 species